UUUGAGGGGAAUGUUGUCUGGCUCGAGGCCAUCAACUAGAUCUAUGGAUUUUUUUUUCAUAUAUCAAAGUUUGAGAGAUGAUGAUGAUUUAAUCAUUAAUCAUAGGUUAAUGACGUCGGACCAGGCUUCAUUCCCCCCAAU
rfam:Gossypium arboreum cultivar AKA8401 contig_17291_5, whole genome shotgun sequence.